rnacentral:rRNA from 1 species
UUUAUGGAGAGUUUGAUCCUGGCUCAGGAUGAACGCUGGCGGCGUGCCUAAUACAUGCAAGUCGAGCGAACAGACGAGGAGCUUGCUCCUUUGACGUUAGCGGCGGACGGGUGAGUAACACGUAGGUAACCUACCUAUAAGACUGGGAUAACUUCGGGAAACCGGAGCUAAUACCGGAUAAUAUUUCGAACCGCAUGGUUCGAUAGUGAAAGAUGGCUUUGCUAUCACUUAUAGAUGGACCUGCGCCGUAUUAGCUAGUUGGUAAGGUAACGGCUUACCAAGGCAACGAUACGUAGCCGACCUGAGAGGGUGAUCGGCCACACUGGAACUGAGACACGGUCCAGACUCCUACGGGAGGCAGCAGUAGGGAAUCUUCCGCAAUGGGCGAAAGCCUGACGGAGCAACGCCGCGUGAGUGA